rnacentral:lncRNA from 10 species
UAUUCAAGAAUCUCAGCUUCUGCUUUGCAAAUGAGUUGAAAGCUUAAGGAUUUGACCCCAACUUUCAAAAUCCAGAAUUCACCCUGCUGUUUCUCCAUGAGUCUGACCUGCAUCAACUGCCUCCCUUAUUCUGGGAUUCCAGUUGUGGAGCUCAAGGACAAGUCCAUUCUGGGCUGGCUGUAUCCAACUUCUUUAGUCCAACUAUAUCCCCACUGGAAGCCAGGCUCUUUCCAACAGCUGUCACCCAUGCCUCUUUCUAUGUUUGUUAUCUGUCUCUAGGUUCUGGUAACUACUUCCUUCCCUUGCCCCUUCUGGCCUAGGGUGCUACCAAUCCCUCCUCCAAAUCCAACUGUCACUAGCCUCAAAGUACUUGUAGCUUCCUCACCUUACUUUCACCUUAAUAAAUGGUCCCCCUACUAUCUCUCUUCAAAGCACCCAAUUUGAGUGUGCCAUCUGUUUCUUGCCAGGAUCCUGGUUGGUACAUCAACCAAGCUGCACUGAUGGAGGAGCACUGUGCUGAACUUUAGGAAUGAAGCCACAGGGCCCUCACUGCCCCCAUAGUCACCUUGGUCAUCUUCUGCCUCCCUGAAAGACUAAAUUCAGUCAGUUCAGAUACAUACACAUCCAGACAUGUCAGGGAAAACUCCAUUUUGUAAGGAUCUCUGCUUAAAAUGCCAAAAGUUUGAAAGUUGGCAAACACUUGAGAAAAGCACAGUUCUCUGUCUUACUCUUACUCUAAACUUGGAGAUAAAUGCAUUUUUAAAAUUGUGCAUGUUAGAGUGCUAACGUGUACAAGAUCAUUUCUGGUGAGACACCACAAACAAUAUUUUAUGAGGCCAAAAUAAGAAAGAAGGAAAUGAAAUAGCUCAGGAAUCUCAGGAAGAGCUCAUCGAACACUUUGCCUUUAUCUCAGACCAUUUUAUCCACAGCCCUGUUAAUCAGGAUUGGAUAUACCUCCAUGAGGGAGUCUUAAACGGAGGGAAAGAGAUGCCACAACUAAAAAAAAGAAUGCAAUAGAAGUUUGUCUUAAUGCCUGUUCUGUGAUGCACAACUUUCGUAAGCCAAAAUUUUAACCUUAUGAACAAUCAGUUCUGUGCUGCCCUUAGCAGAGAACCAUAAAUUAAAGAUAAGCAAUGGUUCAGACUUUCCAGGGCCUUGACUCAGGAGUAACUCUGAAAUCCCAACCAAAUAUGUAUUUGGUUAAGCAAUUUGGCACAUUUUUCUAUUUUGAGGCAUUAAACUAUAAUUACAAGUCACUUUUAUUUCAUUCCAAAUAAAUGUCCCUAAAGUAGAUAGAACUAGAGGUUUCCUUUUUUUAAAAAAAGGAAACAGGAAAACAACAAACAAAACCAAAAAGAACAAAAGCAAAACAAAACUUAGUCAAGCUAACAAAUUGCAUGUAUGGUGUGUUUUAUAAUUUAAUCAAUAUAAAAAAUUGAGUGUGCUAGUGCCUCAGGAGGACUCAGAGGACUCAAAUACUCAAUAGGUUAUCUGGAGGAAUUUCUCAUUGGAGAAAAAAAUUAAAGUUCUUUUGAACAACCCACAUAAUCAAGAUAGUAAUAAUUUAACCUCAAGUUUUUCCUUGAUUAAAAAAUCCCUUUGCUAUUCUGCUCCAGUGUUUGUAAUAGAUGGUUCAACAAGACUGGUGUUUUGUUAGUUGGAAAAGUAAGCUGAUAUGAGGGGUGGGGAGAGGAAGGGCAGAAAUUUAUUAACAAUCAGCAAGUAAAGAAAAACAGCCUGCAAAUUGUAAUGAAAGGAAGAAAGGACAGGAAAGGAAAGGUAGGGCUGGUGGAGAGUGACUGUUCUGCCUGCUUACUGCACAGGCCAAGAACAAACUCACGAUAAAUACUCCAGGUCCUCAAGAAAAAGGUUUCUGUGCUGAAUUAUGGUAGUCUACCUGAAAUUGGGAUGAUGAAUUAGAAAACCUCUCUCAUCGCUUCAAGUCUUGUGAUUUAUUCAUUCAGUGCCAUUUAUUGUAUAACUAUAUAAUUUCUAAAGGGGGAUAACUACAAGAAAAAGAUGUGAUUUCUUCUUUCAGAGAUCCCCAAAUAUAGAAAGCUAUUCAUAUACUGCUUAGAUAAACAAAGAUUAUCUUCUUUUUCUACAUUCUAUAUAAUGUUCCUUAAACUCAAGCUCUCUUCUCCCCAUCUCUACCUUACCCCUCUGGGUAGCAAGGAAAAAUAAAAAUAAUGUCA